rnacentral:rRNA from 1 species
GACGAACGCUGGCGGCGUGCUUAACACAUGCAAGUCGAACGGAAAGGCCCUGCUUUUGUGGGGUGCUCGAGUGGCGAACGGGUGAGUAACACGUGAGUAACCUGCCCUUGACUUUGGGAUAACUUCAGGAAACUGGGGCUAAUACCGGAUAGGAGCUCCUGCUGCAUGGUGGGGGUUGGAAAGUUUCGGCGGUUGGGGAUGGACUCGCGGCUUAUCAGCUUGUUGGUGGGGUAGUUGCUUACCAAGGCUUUGACGGGUAGCCGGCCUGAGAGGGUUACCGGCGACAUUGGGACUGAGGUACGGCCCAGACUCCUACGGGAGGCAGCAGUGGGGAAUAUUGCACAAUGGGCGGAAGCCUGAUGCAGCAACGCCGCGUGCGGGAUGACGGCUUUCGGGUUGUAAACCGCUUUCGCCUGUGACGAAGCGUGAGUGACGGUAAUGGGUAAAGAAGCACCGGCUAACUACGUG